rnacentral:piRNA from 1 species
UGGAAAGAGAAGGAACAAGGAUGCUGGUAUC